rnacentral:rRNA from 1 species
GACGAACGCUGGCGGCGUGCUUAACACAUGCAAGUCGAACGCUGAACCCGCUUCGGUGGGGGAUGAGUGGCGAACGGGUGAGUAACACGUGGGCAACCUGCCCCCGGCUCUGGGAUAACUCCAAGAAAUUGGGGCUAAUACCGGAUGUGACCGCUGGCCGCAUGGUCUGGUGGUGGAAAGGGUUUCCGGCUGGGGAUGGGCCCGCGGCCUAUCAGCUUGUUGGUGGGGUAGUGGCCUACCAAGGCGACGACGGGUAGCCGGCCUGAGAGGGUGACCGGCCACACUGGGACUGAGACACGGCCCAGACUCCUACGGGAGGCAGCAGUGAAGAAUAUUGCGCAAUGGGCGGAAGCCUGACGCAGCGACGCCGCGUGGGGGAUGACGGCCUUCGGGUUGUAGACCUCUUUCAGCAGGGACGAAGCGAAAGUGACGGUAACUGCAGAAGAAGCACCGGCGAACUACGUG